GUGCUCGCUUCAGCAGCACAUGUACUAGAAUUGGAAUGAUACAGAGAAGAUUAAUAUGGCCCCUGCAUAAGGAUGGCUCUCAAAUUCGUGGACUGUAUAUUCUCUGA
ensembl:snRNA U6 U6 spliceosomal RNA